AGCUCUUGAAAUAUGCCCUCAUGUUAAACACCUAGGCAAGUUUUCAUUAUUUCCAAAUCAUUUUUAUUGUAUUCAAUCAAAUUCAAUCAAUUAAACUGAUGGUUCUCUGGUUUUGCUUCUUUACUAUUGGGAUUAUUGUAACGCCCGUCUCCCAAAUCCUACUCUUGUGCCCUAACUUGAACAACAAGAAACACCUGCAUACACUGAACAUGAAAGAGGAAAAUUGGUGAAUAACACACAGUCAUUCAGUGAGGAUGGUCAUUUUUACCCACAUGACUCCUAACAUUAUUAACCAACUUGCAUGCGAAAAUACUAGUCCUAGAACAUUCAUCACCCAAUAUAUUAAGCAAUUAACAAACAUAACACAUCAUUUAUUUCAAUACAUAUUCAUUAAUCGCAUUAACAUUUGUCAUCUCAUAACCAUUUCCAAUAUUAAUAAUAGGGCAAACCUCCAAAAUAGUACAUUUCUAAGUUUAUGUCACAAAAAUAGCCCUCAAAAACUAAAAUGACCAAAAUAGCAUUUUAUCUUUUGAAAAAUUAAUUUUUUUUUAUUUUUCAAAAUUUGAAAUCUUAUCCCAAAACCCCACUCUCCAACUCUAAACUCUAAACCCUAAACCCUAAAUCCUAAACUCUAAACCCUAAAUCCUAAACCCCACCCCUUAACUCUAAACCCCACCCCUUAACUCUAAACCCUAAACCCUAAACCCUAAACCCCACCCCUUAACUCUAAACCCUAAACCCUAAAUCCUAAACCUCACCCCUUAACUCUAAACCCUAAACCCAAGAUCCUAAACCCUAAACCCUAGAUCCUAAACCCCACCC
rnacentral:lncRNA from 1 species